rnacentral:rRNA from 2 species
UACGGGAGUGGCAAGCGUUAUCCGGAAUUAUUGGGCGUAAAGCGUCCGCAGGCGGUCUUGAAAGUCUGUUGUUAAAGCGUGGAGCUCAACUCCAUUUCAGCAAUGGAAACUAGAAGACUAGAGUGUGGUAGGGGCAGAGGGAAUUCCCGGUGUAGCGGUGAAAUGCGUAGAUAUCGGGAAGAACACCAGUGGCGAAGGCGCUCUGCUGGGCCAUAACUGACGCUCAUGGACGAAAGCCAGGGGAGCGAAAGGG